rnacentral:lncRNA from 1 species
UAAUUCAGAAAAACCCUAAAAACCCAUUCUAUAGGGACCGCGGAACAAAGAAGGACCAUGAAAUCCAGCUAAGCAUAGUCUCAUACAUAACACAAACAACACGUUACCACCACACCUUUUCGACUACUUAACGAGGUGGUUUUGCUCUAUGUUCCCACCGCCCUACAAUUUUCUUUUUCUCUUUAAACAAAUAUGUUUUUUUUUUUUUUUUUUCCUUUUUCUUUUUUAUUCUAUAAUUUAUGAUCACAUUCCUACCCAUCAUUUUCCAUCCCAGCAUGUAUGAUGACAUGUUGGGCUGGAUAGGCAUAAACUCAAAUAGAAAACUGAAAUUUCAAUUUAAGAAAAUGUUAAAAAAAUCUAUUUCAUGUGUUAGUCAACAUUUUAAUUCUUAAUUUUGCAACCAAAAGAAAAAUACAUUAUCUUUUAUUUUUCGGUUCUUAUUUUCUUUUCAC